rnacentral:rRNA from 1 species
UACGUAGGGGGCAAGCGUUGUCCGGAAUUAUUGGGCGUAAAGCGCGCGCAGGCGGUUGUUUAAGUCUGGUGUAUAAGUGCGGGGCUCAACCCCGUGAGGCACUGGAAACUGGGCAACUUGAGUGCAGAAGAGGAGAGCGGAAUUCCACGUGUAGCGGUGAAAUGCGUAGGGAUGUGGAGGAACACCAGUGGCGAAGGCGGCUCUCUGGACUGUAACUGACGCUGAGGCGCGAAAGCGUGGGGAGCAAACAGG